CCCAUCCUGACUUCAUCAGUGUGCUGUGAGGGCCAGGCAGGGAGGUCGGGCAUUGGGAUUGAUUGGAUUUUAUUUGCUCCACGGAACACCCAGUGGGCAUCAGUCACCUUUCCCUGGGCAGUAAUGUGUCACAACAGAUCAUUCUGCUCCUCUUACUUAAAAGCACUCAACAGACCCUGCGAGGCUAGAAUAAAAACAAUGUAGUAAAGCAUUAGGAAACAAGGG